rnacentral:misc_RNA from 1 species
AGUGGGUGCUGUAGCAGAGGCCAUUGUUAGUGGGUUAUUUCGGAGGGAGAGAGAAAGAGAGAGAGCUAAAGAGAGAAUGAGUGUGCAGUGCACUGAGGAGAAGAGAAGAAAAAAAGGAAAGAAAGGCGAGAUUUUUGAAGCAAGGGAUGGGAUAUGAAAAGCUGAAUUAAAAAGUGAAUUGCUUUUGUAUACGUGAUGAAAGGGUCAAAAAAGCCCUUUCAUUUUUUUUCAUUGUUAAAUUCACAGACUUUGAGACAGAAAAACAGAGUCAACCGACCCUUUUGGAGCUUUGUAUUUGUAAGGCUUCGAUAACUCCACCGAGGCACAUUGCCUUUUAUCUUCUCUUCUCUCCUCUUCAACCCUUCUAUUCUAUUUUCAUCUUCUCUCUCUCGCUUUUCCCUUUCUUUUUUCAUUUCUCUCUGCAAAUCUUUUGUUUUCUUCCUUUUAUCAUCUUUUCUCGCUAGGCUGCUUCUACUCUUUCUAAGUUCAGUACACUCGAGGCUCUUCAACCAUGCAGCCAAGCAGAUAUAAUUAUACUUCUUCCGAGAACUAGGGUUCCUCCCUCCUUUUUUCUGUUCUUUCUUUAGGCUAGAGAGUGAUUAGUUUUUAGAGAGAGAGAGAGAGAGGGAUAGAGAACGAAGUGCUAAGCAGGAGUUUGAAGGGGUUUCGCUUGCCUUCUUUCUCUUUCUUUCUCUCUGGAAAAAAAAAAAGUUUCUGUAGAGAGGAAGUUUGAGACAUUUGGACAUUUUUCCUUGUGUCUCCUCUACCUCUUUGCCUUUCUUUUCUUUCAUGUUUCCAAUAUUAAAAGAUUUGUAUUACCAAAUACCGUUUUUCAAGUUUUAGACUAUUAUUUCUUGAUUUUCAAUUUUGGGUUGGCUUGUUUCGGUGCUGAUAUUCAUGGGUCUGAUUGAGAAAUGGAGCAAAUCUUUUGACAAUUGCUGUGUGAGAUAAGUGCUUGUAAAUUUGUAGAGAAUAGGAAGCAAAUCUAGAGGGGAUACUGGAA